GACGAACGCUGGCGGCGUGCCUAAUACAUGCAAGUCGAGCGAUUAAGGUUGGUGCUUGCACCGAUUUGGAGAGCGGCGGACGGGUGAGUAACACGUGGGUAAUCUGCCUUUGAGCAGGGGACAACAUAUGGAAACGAAAGCUAAUACCGCAUAACAACUUUAAACAUAAGGUUUAAGGUUGAAAGAUGCAAUUGCUUCACCCAAAGCUGAUCCCGCGUUGUAUUAGCUAGUUGGUGAGGUAAAGGCCCACCAAGGCGAUGAUACAUAGCCGACCUGAGGGGGUGAUCGGCCACAAUGGGACCUGGACACGGGCCAAACUUCUAAGGGAAGCAGCAGUAGGGAAACUUCGGCAAUGGACGAAAGUCUGAACGAGCAACGGCGGGGGGUGGAAGGAAGGUCUCGGGUUGGAAAACUCCGUUGAUAGAGAAGAAAGGUGGGUAGAGUGGAACGUUCAUCAAGUGACGGUAACUACACAGAAAGGGACGGCUAACUACGUG
rnacentral:rRNA from 1 species